rnacentral:tRNA from 1 species
GGACAGAUGGCAGAGUGGUUGAAUGCGGCAGUCUCGAAAACUGCUAUACCCGCAAGGGUAUCGAGGGUUCGAAUCCCUCUUUGUCCGCCA